rnacentral:sRNA from 1 species
GGGUGAUCUGGCUGCGACAUCUGUCAUCCCAGUGAUCACCAGGGGUGAUUUGGCUGACCUGACUGUCUAGACAGAGGGCCCUCUUUUGCC